UACGAACGGUCCAAACGUUAUUCGGAAUCACUGGGCUUAAAGGGUGCGUAGGCGGGCCCGUCAGUCAGGGGUGAAAUCCCACGGCCCAACCGUGGAAGUGCCUCUGAUACUGCGGGCCUGGAGGGGGAUAGGGGCGUGCGGAACUUCCGGUGGAGCGGUGAAAUGCGUAGAUAUCGGAAGGAACACCGGUGGCGAAAGCGGCGCGCUGGAUCCCUACUGACGCUGAGGCACGAAAGCCAGGGGAGCAAACGGG
rnacentral:rRNA from 1 species